CGCAACGCCGCGUGAGCGAUGAAGGCCUUCGGGUCGUAAAGCUCUGUUGUUAGAGAAGAACAAGUACGAGAGUAACUGCUCGUACCUUGACGGUACCUAACCAGAAAGCCACGGCUAACUACGUGCCAGCAGCCGCGGUAAUACGUAGGUGGCAAGCGUUAUCCGGAAUUAUUGGGCGUAAAGCGCGCGCAGGCGGUCUCUUAAGUCUGAUGUGAAAGCCCACGGCUCAACCGUGGAGGGUCAUUGGAAACUGGGAGACUUGAGUGCAGGAGAGAAAAGUGGAAUUCCACGUGUAGCGGUGAAAUGCGUAGAGAUGUGGAGGAACACCAGUGGCGAAGGCGGCUUUUUGGCCUGUAACUGACGCUGAGGCGCGAAAGCGUGGGGAGCAAACAGGAUUAGAUACCCUGGUAGUCCACGCCGUAAACGAUGAGUGCUAGGUGUUGGGGGGUUCCACCCUCAGUGCUGAAGUUAACACAUUAAGCACUCCGCCUGGGGAGUACGACCGCAAGGUUG
rnacentral:rRNA from 1 species